AUCAUGACCUGGGCUCUUCUCCUGCUCAGCCUCCUCAGUCAGGGCCCAGGAACCUGGGCCCAGUCUCCUCUGACUCAGCCUCCCUCCGUGUCUGGGACUCAGGGACAGACUGUCACCAUCUCCUGUACAGGAACCAGCAAUGACAUUGGGGCAUAUUAUCAUGUGUCCUGGUACCAGCAGCAGGGGGGAACAGUUCCAAAAAUGCUGAUAUAUAAUGUCAAUGAGCGGCCAUCAGGGAUCCCUGAUCGCUUCUCUGGCUCCAAGUCUGGCAACACAGCGACCCUGACCAUCUCUGGGCUCAAGCCUGAGGACGAGGCUGAUUAUUACUGUAGCUCAUAUACCAGAAGCGCCUCCAAGACUUUAAAAAGAAAAACGGCAGUUGGCGACUGCUACAGGAUCUACGAGCAGUAAAUAAAACCAUAGUCAUUUUUGGGGCGCUUCAACCUGGACUGCCGUCCCCAGCAGCCAUUCCUUCAGAAAUGUAUAAGACAGUACUUGAUUUAAAAGACUGCUUUUUCUCAAUUCCCUUGCAUCCUGAUGAUCACCCCCGCUUUGCCUUUAGUUUGCUAGCUUCUAAUUAGAAAGAGCCCAAUGUACAUUGGAGCAACCCCAUUGUCAGGGGGAUAAGACCAAAGAUAAUGUGGACGUCCGUAGGGCAGGUUCAGGAAUUUCAGUGUGAAUGUGGUGAGUGGGUGCGCACCCUCGUGAAAGAAGGACCGGUCCGAGCGAGUGCAGGAGUGUGCUUUGUGCGUGUGCCUUUAGUGUGUGUGUAAUUGUCUCAUUAUCUUUCUCUUAGUUCUGCUUAUUAUUAUCAGCAGAGAAGGCAGGAAAAUGCAAGAUCAUGUGGUUA